rnacentral:rRNA from 1 species
AUGAUAGGAGGAGAGGUGAUUCAAGCAGUGACCUUCGCCAAUUCUGUGCUUAGCAAGGUGGCUGAUGUGAUCACGAGAGAUAAGUCCAUGAAAGGUGCAGUCAAAAGAGGCCUCAACGACAUCAAGCUGGAUAUGAAAAUGGUGAUCAGCGAAAUCAAGUUGAAUGAGGAGAACAACCAAGGGGCGACACAUGAGAGCAAGAUUGUGAUACUGAAGGAGUUGGCUAAUGAUAUUGAGGACUUCAUAGAUCUUACGUGGGUUCCGGGUGCAUCUGGCAUUCUCUUCUCGGCAUUUGGCCCGGACCACCGACCUCAAAUAGUGCAAACAAUCGACCAUUUCAAGGACAGUAUCCAGAAAGUACGGACCUGGCAACCUGAUGCCGGAUCCAGCAAGGGCGAAGACAGUGCUGCAACAUGGUCCUGCCCUUCAGCCACACCUCCUAAUCCUUAUAGCCGAGAUCUAGAUCAUGAGGCUACCUUCAGGAGCAUCUGCAAACACAGAUGUGAGCUGCAAGGGUUGCUGUCAGCAUCCGAAGGGCAAGAGCUGAAGGUGAUCUCCAUUGUCGGUUGCCGUGGCGUGGGGAAGACAAGUCUAGCAACAGCGGUCUAUGACGACUGUCGUGCCGAAUACGAUUGCGUUGCUUGGGUGGUGGCAUCCGAGUGCCGCGAUCUGGAGGACCUUCUAACCAAGCUUCUCAAGGAGGCACAAAGGACGGCUAAGCCUACAUCUACAGCUGCACAAGGGAGCAUCUCCGAUACUGAGCAAACAAGCCUUCGAAAUUUCCUGAGUGACAAAAGGUACUUUGUUGUUAUUGACGAUGUGGACCGUCUAGAAGUGUGGCAGGCUAUAAAACGUGAAUUCCCUAAAGAAGGCCACGGCAGCAGAAUAAUUGUGACCACAAGCAUGCACUCUGUUGCGGCUGAAUGCAGCUGGGGCAGUCAUGUGUAUACAAUGCAAUGUUUGGACAAAGAUGAGUCAGAAAAAGUAUUCUGGGAAUCGGUUGGUCAAGAGAAUAAGACACCUGCCCUAGAGCGGGCUUCAGAAGGCAUCAUCACGAAAUGUGGAGGCUUACCUCUGGCGCUUAUCAGCGUAGCCAAUUACUUGCGUCGACGAGGACGAACCGAGAAUCAAGUGGCAGGAGGACUCACAACAGAGCACUGCAAAAGUGUUGCCUGCACGCUCGGAGACAAGAUACUAAAAGGACAGGAUGCCGAGUUCUUGAAGAUCAAUAGAGCGCUUCUCCAGUGCUACAACAACCUUCCAGACUAUGCACACCAGAGCUGCUUGCUUUAUGCCAGCGUGUUCCCCAGAGGCCGCCCAAUUAGAAGCAAGGUUCUGCUUAGAAGAUGGAUGAGUGAAGAGUUGGCUGCACAUGGCACUGUCAGUGAUGAAGAAGGUGUCAGAAGUUGUUUACAGGCCUUCAUUGAGCGGUGUAUCGUUGAACCAGUAGAGAUAAAAAAUGCUAGGGUAGCCAGGUGCAGGGUUCACAGCAUAAUGCUCGAGUUCAUCAUCCACAAGGCCGUCUCAAAGAAAUUUGUUGCUCUGGUUGACAAGGAUGAGCUCCUGUCCAAUAAUGGUACUAUCACCAAUGUUCGUGUCCGCCGACUCUCUGUUCAGGAUAGCACCAAGGAAGGAGUUGAUGAUGUUGUGUGUACUGCGAGGGGUAUUGACUUAUCUGUUAUGAGGUCACUAACAAUCUUCGGAAGCCCUCUUCUUGACCUCCAAGCCUGCAAGUUACUGCGAGUUCUGGAUCUUGAAGGUUGCAAAGGGGUAAACAAUGAUGCCGUUCUCGAAAACAUAUGCAAGCAGCGGCUUCUCAAGUAUCUCAGCCUGAGGGGCACUGAUGUUGACCAUCUUCACCAAAAAAUAAAGCACCUAGUGCAUUUGGAAACACUGGAUAUUCGAGACACAUCGGUGGAAGUCGUGCCCAUUGAGGUCAUCAGGCUACCACUGUUAGCUCACCUGUUUGGCCGGUUUGAGCUACCCCAUCGAAUCACUGAAGAAAUAUCAAAGCAAAGCAAAUUGCAGACUCUGGCUGGAGUCGUGGUUACUGAGGCAGACGAAAGUUUUGAAAACAUUAUACUUCAUGCCCGAAAACUGAGGAAGGUUAAGAUCUAUCAAGCAACAUCAUAUUCCUCCAACAGCCCUUGCCGCUUGCCGCUUAACGAGCGCUUCACCGGUAGCAAAGCUCUCCAGAUUCUGUCAAUUGAUUCAAGUGACUUGGCUAAAGAGUUCAUAAGGUUCCUAGAGGCUCCCUGUGCAAUUACAUCUAUCAAACUACGGGGGCAGCUGGAAAGAUUACCUGCUACUCCUGCCUUAACGGAGCUGUGCGAUCUAAAUAGGCUGCUACUUAUCUCCACUGGUUUGAGCAUCGAAGACUUAUCUGCACUGCAAAGUUUACCUUGCUUGGAAUAUCUCAAGCUAGCAGAAGAUGGGCAUGGGUUUCGCGGCAGCAGCUUCGUUGUGAAGAGUGGUGGAUUCCCAAGCCUGAGGCGACUGUCCUUGGAGGCCCCAAGGCUCCCACAAGUGCGAAUCGAACAAGGAUCUAUGAAGUCUCUCGCCAUACUUGACCUACUUUGUCCAGAUCCAGAAAUUCGAGAGCCUCGUUUGGGAAUCCAUUACUCUUUCCUUCAGCUGGAAACCAGGCUUGGCGUGGAAGGCGUAUCGUAUCUUGAGAAUCUCAAGGAGGUGAUCCUCCACCACUCUAUGAGUGAGUCAAAAGUGCAAGCUUGGAAAGAGGAAGCGAUUGGGCACAACAACAAGCCAUCUGUGAAGAAGCAACCACAACCAACCAUCCAUGCGGCACGCCAUGGGAUGCAAGCAAGGAUCGACAAGAGGAAGAACCCGGACGACGGAAAGGGCAAGAAAGAUGACAAGCUGAAGAAGAAGAAGAAGUGA